UUAUUUUUAGGCUCCUCUUAGAAGGAAGGAGAACAUUUCCGAGGCGAAGAUUUUUCAGGUGGACUAGUUUGAUCGGAGCUCACCGGGAGAUAACUAACGAUGGAUGAUGACUUUACGGUGAAUUUUCUUCAUCCCGAGUCCGAUCGCGGGUCGGGAUCUCCGGCGGCGGCGGAGUCUCGGAGCGAGUCGACCCGGUGGAACUCGCUCGAGUCGGGUGUUACGGUCGAGAGCUCGCGUUGGUGCUCGUGCGAGUCGUGCGACGGUGAGGAUGCGAGACCGUCCAUGUUCCUCUUCUUCAAACGUGCUCUUCCUGUCGGAAAGUUGGCUUGGAAUGGUAAUGCAAUGAGGUCAAUUACCAUCUCUGAGGUAGUUUGUUCACUAUCUCUUAUCUGUCUACGAUCACAAAGGAAGUGUUGGCUUCCAAAUUUGGUGGGUUUCUGCUAGAUUCCUUGUCGAGAUGCACAUACCAUUAAGCUUUGUAAUUGCAUUAGAUGCUGCUGUUUUGCCUGCGGUCCCAGUCUUUCAAUGUUCUGUCUGUUUCAUGCUUUUCCAUGAACAGAUGGAGUGUUGCUGUCACGAUGAGUCACAGUUCUCUAUGUGUGGCUGUCUCCAUGAGAUCGUGUAUAUGAACAUGACCCUGUUUUGGCCACGAGAAGUUUGACUGGUGGAUCGGAUAUAGAAAAUUGUUUCUUGGAAAUUUUUGUGGAGUUCUCUUAGGCAUCGUUUUCAUCGAUCUAGAUCACUCCAUGUUACGGCGGAUCGCGUUAAUAGGACGGAUUCAUCUUUCUCGAGAAACAUUGGGCAUUCUGAAACUGACCCCUUGAACUGCAGCUGAAAACUGGCUGUGAUUUUAGCUUCAGCGCAGGCAUUUCUAUGUCUGCAUAAAACCCUCACCCAUGUUUCAUUGCCUUAUGAUGGUUUAGUUAUUCAUUGGCAAGAGGAUGAAUGCAGUGGUUGGACCAAUGAGAAACACAGUUCAUAUCUUGAUUAUUUGGAGAAAUCAUUUGUUAGGCAGUUGUACUGCCUGAUGGAAGGAAAGACUGGGAGAUCAUUUAGAACUCAUGAUCCGCCAGCCAACUCUUACAGAUCCACUGAUCAGUUUGGGGAUUUGACUCAGUUUGUCAUCAAAACUUUUUGAGAUCCCAUUUGACUGUACUCUUCACUGCCCAUUUUGGCAUUCAUAUUUCGCAGUUUUCUGUCCUGCAAAACGGGUGCUGGCAGAAGAUUAGCUUUGGGACAAAGAUAACUCAUUCGGACUUGUCAUCUGACUUUUAUUUCCGUGAAAAUCCAUUGACGAGCCGUUCUGCAGAACCCAGUGGAAGUUACACUAGGACAACCGCUGUCCGAGUAAAUUUGCCAUGUAACAAGGAAGCCAUCCCCUCUAGUGACAAGGCGUUUUCCGGAACAUCCUUGAGAAAUCCAGUAGGACAUGAAUGUUCGACAGAAAACACUGCAGAGGCGUCAGGUCAGAACUUCACAGACGAAGACAAAGAAGAGAAGCCAUCUGAAAGACCCAGAACCCAGAGUGUCGAAAUGGAAGAUCGUGUAAAAGCCCCACGAAUGCUUAAUUCAGACAGAGAGGGCUUUGUGUCGUGUCGUGUUGUAUCUGAGGAUUAGAUUAGUAGCAUAUUUUGAUAUUUCUUCGGAAAGAGAGGAACCAUCUUCGUGAUUUUGCUCUUAUUAAUUUGUUGCCCUUUCACGGCUCAUGGUUCGAGAGUGUGCAUUGAAAAAUCCAUUAUCCGGCGUAUUUGUUCCGCGUUACACCGUCAUAAAAAAAAUUUGUGGUA